CCCCCAAAUCCCGUGGGCCUCUGCGGGAUGGUAUUUAAAUGGCUUGCGUGGGCUUCUUCGGCCUCAUUUUUCUCCUGUCCGAAGCAGGACCUGGGCGCGUUUGAGCAAACGGAGGGAGCGCCGUUACUGAGCAUGUUGCUCGGAUCGGGGACCUGCCGGGUCGACGAUGGAGGCUGCCCCUUCACCCUCUGCAGCGCUGGCCGUACCGCGAGGCUCCAGCGUCACAUAACCAGCCCUGGGGAGUUUGGACGCGUCCCAAGGUGAACAAAGGUUCUCGUGCUGACGGAUUCUUCUGUCUGCUGCCUCCUCCUGUUCCUAUGCUCCACUGAGAAAUCUUCAGAGUGAAGAGGUGCUGUCACCAUUGGCCUGCUUGUUGGUUCAAAGGUCCAGCACCUUGGAAGCCCAGAGUGAUUCCAGGGAAACGAAGGUGAAUUCCAGGCUGAAGCUCCUGGUCUGAAGAAAGAAGAGGUGCAUGUAAUGGACUGAAGUAUUGCAGGAUGUCAGAAAUCUACAAAUCCCUAAGACAAUCAUGUCAGCCUUCCUAAUAAAGCUGCUUUCCUUCUUGA